GUUGGAAAGUUCUCUGGGUACUUGAGUUGACUUUAUAUUCAGUUUCUCAUGAAUAGUGUUUUCACAUGUCUAUCUUUUGCUCUCAACAGAUUAUUGACAUUUAGAUUCAUAAUUUGGCACUGAUAAUAUCACUAGAUGGUAGUUUUGUAGCUUGUAUGGUAGUAUUUCUCAUCGUUCAUGGACAUUUUCAUUUAAUUGCUUCACAUCAUUUCUUGAGAACCGAAUAGGUUAGAUGAGUCAUGGUGUUGGUACAGUUGUUUGGUUUUACACGAACGGCUGGAUGGUUCAAGACAUCGUGUUCACCAACUAGCCUAGUAAAUCCGAUUGUAUUCAACUAAAGAAGGUUCAAGGCCACAAGCUACCUAUCUUGAUGCUACGACUUGUCGUGUGUACUCCGUUUGUUAGAGUCUGCAUUUCAUUUUCAUUGCAUUCGCUUUGUGUUGCGCAUAUCGAGGAAUUUCCAUUCAUGUGGGGGAUUGUUGGAUAUUGGUUAAAUAAAUUGAGAAUUGAAAAUCGAUUAAAGUUCGUAUCGAAUUCGGCCAAAUACUCAAAAGCUCGACUCAAUCCGUUUAGGCAAAAUUGUUUGCCACUUCGCCGCUUCGGGGCGCACAAACGGGGAUCGACCUGCCCGGUCAGGUCGCGAGGGUCGAGGGGGCAGCGCCCCUCGUGGGGGGUCGGGGGCAACGCCCCCGAAAGAGAAUUUUGAUUUCUCUGCAUGUAUUGAAGGGUAUAUUUGGCAUUUCGAAAACCAAUAUCGGAUGAAUGAGAAAUUACGAAAAAGACCUCAACCAUUAGUGAAUAGACACCUUUUCAUAAAGGUGCAUUGUUUGGAAAUGGUGCAUGGUUUGGUCUCAACCAUUUCGUCCACACCCCUUCAUGGUCUAUAAAUAGGACCCUUUGGGUGUCCUAUUCCUCACAGUUUGAUAUGCAAAAACGUCUCUCAUCCUUUCUUCUAUCCAAAAUCAAAAUCAUUUCAUUUAUUUUGAUUUUCUUUCAUUUCAUCUGUGGAGUACAUAAGCCUACAUUGGGUUCGUUGUACUUGUGUUUUGGAGUGCUACAAACACAAGUGUAGCCGUUGUAUCUUGGGAGUCGAUUGGCGAAAUCCGUAGGCACCGUUGCGGGGCAAAUUCGACUUAAGGACAAAGAGUCCAACUCUUGCCUCGGCUUUGUCACCAUCAUUAUACUUAUUUCGGCGUCACUUUUCACAAAAUUCUUCCAACAGAACUUGUAUCCUCGUGAAUUCAAUUUUUCUUUUCAUCAUUUGCUACUGCCAUAACAGUGACUAAUAUGGAUAAUUGUUAACGUGCCUUUGCUUUUCCUUAGGAAAACAUUGCAUGAUACUUGCAAUUGUCUUUACACCUGUAUAUGACUUAAAAAAUCUUCAUUUUGUAUGUGAUGUCUCAGGUUUUUGGAGACUUUGCCAUUGAAAAACGGUGCAAAACUUGGCGUCUUGAGGUCUGUUCCUACUCACUUUGAUCUCAAAGCUGUAUUCUAUCCUUCUGGUCUACAUGUAUAACAUGGAUUAAACAGCAAUUUCAGAUUGCGCGAUUGAUGUAUGAAGUUGAUGGAACAGGGUUCUCCAAAUCAUGGAUUUGACGCUCUAAAAGCACCUAGCUCUAGAUGAGUCUGUUGAAGAAGUUUUGGAAGUCCUGCAGGAAUAUGCUCGAUUAGUCCAAGGACUGUGGGUUCCAAAGAGUUC
rnacentral:lncRNA from 1 species